rnacentral:lncRNA from 1 species
UGCAUUGCAGCUAUAUAUUCUACAUGGUGAUGGUGUAGAUCAGGGUGUCAUCUGGUGAGAUGAUGAGGACAUCUCUCUCGUACUAUACUCAUUUUACAGGUAGACCUCUCAAAAGAGGAUGGGGAGUUACUGUUUUUGUUUAAGGAAAAAAAGAGUUGACUCAUAAGAGGUACCAGGCUCGAUAGCCUUAUAAACACAUGGUUAAUUUUAACAAAAACGGUAAAUAAAAAGUUGACAAGACAAAAGAAGUACUUUUGUCAAACAACUAUUGAGUGCCAACAUCGGCCAGUGUUGGCUUAUCGAAUUCCUCCAAAGGGACCUCAAUAUGAAGACCGUAGGCAUGGUCCUUGUGGGUCGAGCCUCUAAGUCUAAGGAGUGGAAAGCAAUUUGAAUUUCCAUCCAA